rnacentral:rRNA from 1 species
ACUGGAUCACUGUAUAGACCUGAUCUCAUCUGAUUCUGGAAGCUAAGCAGAGUUGGGCCUGGUUGAUAUUUGAAUGGGUGACCAGCUAGAAAAUACCAAAGAUCUCCAAGUA